rnacentral:rRNA from 1 species
AAGUGGUAGCAAUACCAUGAGUAAAGUGGCGCACGGGUGAGUAACACGUGACUAACCUACCCUGGAGUGGGGAAUAACUGAGGGAAACCUUAGCUAAUGCCGCAUAACACCUACGGGUCAAAGGAGCAAUUCGCUUCAGGAGGGGGUCGCGGCCGAUUAGUUAGUUGGCGGGGUAACGGCCCACCAAGACGAUGAUCGGUAUCCGGCCUGAGAGGGCGCACGGACACACUGGAACUGAAACACGGUCCAGACUCCUACGGGAGGCAGCAGUGGGGAAUUUUGCGCAAUGGGGGAAACCCUGACGCAGCAACGCCGCGUGGAGGAUGAAGCCCCUUGGG